AUUGAACGCUGGCGGCAGGCCUAACACAUGCAAGUCGAGCGGAGCGGCGGACGGGUGAGUAAUGCCUAGGAAUCUGCCUGGUAGUGGGGGAUAACGUCCGGAAACGGGCGCUAAUACCGCAUACUCUCAGAUGAGCCUAGGUCGGAUUAGCUAGUUGGUGGGGUAAAGGCCUACAAAGGCGACGAUCCGUAACUGGUCUGAGAGGGUGAUCGGCAACACUGGGACGUGGAAACGGCCCAGACUCCUACGGGCGGCAGCAGUGGGGAAUAUUGGACAAUGGGCGAAAGCCUGAUCCAGCCAUGCCGCGUGUGUGAAGAAGGUCUUCGGAUUGUAAAGCACUUUAAGUUGGGAGGCGUUACCAACAGAAUAAGCACCGGCUAACUUCGUGCCAGCCGCCGCGGUAAUUC
rnacentral:rRNA from 1 species